rnacentral:rRNA from 1 species
GAGUUUGAUCCUGGCUCAGAACGAACGCUGACGGCGUGGCUAAGACAUGCAAGUCGAACGAACUUUCUGAUUGAGUAAUCGAGAUGAAAGUUAGUGGCGAAAGGGUGAGUAAUGCGUAGGUAACGUACCCCGAACUUCGGAAUAGCUGCGGUUUUCGGACCUUUAGCGAAAGUGCAGGUAAUACCGGAUGUGAUCCUGAAAACUAUGUUUUUUGGGAUUAAAGACUUCGGUCGGUUUGGGAGCGGCCUACGUCGUAUCAGCUUGUUGGUGAGGUAACGGCUCACCAAGGCUUCGGCGCGUAGCGGGACUGAGAGGUUGACCCGCCACAUUGGGACUGAGACACUGCCCAGACCCCCACGGGGGGCUGCAGUAACGAAUAUUGCGCAAUGGACGAAAGUCUGACGCAGCGACGCCGUGUGAAGGAUGAAGCCCCUCGGGGUGUAAACUCCUGUCAGGGUGAAGAAAGGCUUCGGCUUGAUCUAACCCAAAGGAAGGACCGGCUAACUUCGUGCCAGCAGCCGCGGUAAUACGAAGGGUCCAAGCGUUGUUCGGAAUUACUGGGCUUAAAGCGCACGUAGGCGGAAUAGUAAGUGUCUUGUGAAAUCCCACGGCUCAACCGUGGAAUUGCUCGGCAAACUGCUAUUCUUGAGGCAGAUAGGGGUGCAUGGAACUCUGAGUGGAGCGGUGAAAUGCGUAGAUAUUCAGAGGAACGCCAGCGGAGAAAUCGGUGCACUGGGUCUGUUCUGACGCUGAGGUGCGAAAGCGUGGGGAGCGAACGGGAUUAGAUACCCCGGUAGUCCACGCCGUAAACGAUGUCUACUGGGUUGCGGAGGUUCUGACGCCGUCGCAGCCGAAGCAAAAGUGUUAAGUAGACCGCCUGGGGAGUACGGUCGCAAGGCUAAAACUCAAAGGAAUUGACGGGGGCUCACACAAGCGGUGGAGCAUGUGGCUUAAUUCGAAGCAACGCGAAGAACCUUAUCCUGGGUUUGACAUGAUUGGAUGCCCUUGGUGAAAGCCAAGUAAGCUGCCUUCGGGUGAAACUUUCACAGGUGCUGCAUGGCUGUCGUCAGCUCGUGUCGUGAGAUGUCGGGUUAAGUCCCUUAACGAGCGAAACCCUUACCGUUAGUUGCCAGCGAGUAAUGUCGGGGACUCUAGCGGGACUGCCGGUGUUAAACCGGAGGAAGGUGGGGAUGACGUCAAGUCCUCAUGGCCUUUAUGCCCAGGGCUGCACACGUGCUACAAUGGUGCGGACAAACCGACGCAAGACCGCGAGGUGGAGCAAAUCGGAAAAACCGUGCCUCAGUUCGGAUUGUAGGCUGCAACUCGCCUACAUGAAGUUGGAAUCGCUAGUAAUCGCAGAUCAGCUAUGCUGCGGUGAAUAUGUUCCUGAGCCUUGUACACACCGCCCGUCAAGUCACGGAAGCUGGGAGCACUUGAAGUCGGGUAGCUAACUUUUAUUAGAAGCGCCUGCCGAUGGUGAGCUCGGUGACUGGGGCUAAGUCGUAACAAGGUA